AUUAAGAAAUACCUUUAUGCUUGCAGCCUUCCCACCACAGUUUGCGCCACCUCCACAGCCGUUCCAGCCGGGUCCACCGAUGGCUCCACCAGCGCCAAUGCCAGGACCAGCUGGCGGUGUCUUGAUGGAUCUACCGAACACUGGUGGAGGUUACGCUGGAGGUUAUCCUGGCUACGCACCCCCUGUGAUGAUGAGGUACUGCCCGCCUGGGCCCACCAGCAAUGACGCCUGUAAAG
rnacentral:sRNA from 1 species